rnacentral:rRNA from 1 species
UACGUAGGGGGCAAGCGUUGUCCGGAUUUAUUGGGCGUAAAGAGCGUGUAGGCGGCCAGAUAGGUCAGCUGUGAAAACUCGAGGCUCAACCUCGAGAUGUCGGCUGAAACCAUCUGGCUAGAGUCCGGAAGAGGAGAAUGGAAUUCCCGGUGUAGCGGUGAAAUGCGCAGAUAUCAGGAGGAACACCGGUGGCGAAGGCGGGUCUCUGGGCCGAUACUGACGCUGAGGAGCGAAAGCGUGGGGAGCAAACAGG